rnacentral:rRNA from 1 species
AUUGAACGCUGGCGGAAUGCUUUACACAUGCAAGUCGAACGGCAGCACGAGGGCAACCUUGGUGGCGAGUGGCGAACGGGUGAGUAAUACAUCGGAACGUGCCCAGUCGUGGGGGAUAACGUAGCGAAAGCUACGCUAAUACCGCAUACGAUCUAUGGAUGAAAGCGGGGGACCGUAAGGCCUCGCGCGAUUGGAGCGGCCGAUGGCAGAUUAGGUAGUUGGUGGGGGUAAAGGCUCACCAAGCCUGCGAUCUGUAGCUGGUCUGAGAGGACGACCAGCCACACUGGAACUGAGACACGGUCCAGACUCCUACGGGAGGCAGCAGUGGGGAAUUUUGGACAAUGGGCGCAAGCCUGAUCCAGCCAUUCCGCGUGCAGGAUGAAGGCCUCGGGUUGUAACUGCUUUGUACGGUAACGAAAGGUUUACCGUUAAUUACGGUA